UACGGAGGGUGCAAGCGUUAUCCGGAUUCACUGGGUUUAAAGGGUGCGUAGGAGGGCAGGUAGGUCAGUGGUGAAAUCUCCAAGCUUAACUUGGAAACUGCCGUUGAUACUAUCUGUCUUGAAUGUUGUGGAGGUGAGCGGAAUAUGUCAUGUAGCGGUGAAAUGCUUAGAGAUGACAUAGAACACCCAUUGCGAAGGCAGCUCACUACCCGAAUAUUGACUCUGAGGCACGAAAGCGUGGGGAGCAAACAGG
rnacentral:rRNA from 1 species